AAUAAACCUACUGAAGCCGUUCAUGUUUGUGCCGAUCGUUGCCCCAGAUCAAAGAGUUUGUUCUCGUAGCAGUAGCAACACAGACAUGCUGCCUAAAACACCUUAGCUAGAGAGUUGGCGUAGCCAAACACAAACCGUUGUGAGUGGGGAUGCUGCCAGGUAAUGGCUAGAGUAUGAGUGUGUGUUUUGUUGAGAGAUGGUGGCGAUACAGCACAAAAUCCUAGCGGAUGGUGGCUGUAUUACAUCCAGUCAGAGCUUUCUGUCUGGAUGGCGAUGUAUUUCUUGGACGUGUCACUAAUCCUUAUGAAGGACUUCCUGGCAGAAGAGGUUACUCGACCAGUCAGCAGCAGAUAUGCCAGUUAAAUAAUUGGUGACAUUUUGCGUGAUUCUAAAUUAUUUAAGGUUAAUAUCAGUUGUGGGCUGGUGUUCAAUAUAUAUAAUCAUUAUCCUAUAACACUGUUUAUCACCAGCGCUGUUUGGCGCGAUGGUAACACGCGCCAAUGUACCUUUUGAUUAGACGACCUGAGUUUGAAUCGCAGACAGCAUCAUGAUUCAUGAAAUCUUAGUCUAGCCAAUAAUGGGGCAUGCUCAUUAUAAAUACAUUGUGAUUUAGUUUUGGUAUCAGACUAACUUUUCUUAUGAUUUUGUUUGCAGAGCAUACAGGCUGGCAGUUUAUUGCCAGUUCACCCGAUGGGCACAAGGGAGAAUUGGACGAGGUGUACGGCGUCUCAUCCCUGCGUAUGUCGUUUCGCCCAUAAAGAGCACAUACCCAGAAGCAAAGAGGCCAAUGGUGGUUGGAAUCGGUGGACCAACCAACCAUCCAUCCAAUGGAGAUGAUAGAAGUUGGCCGUAUAAUAAUUACUGGUCCAGGGUAUGAUUUUUCUAAUCCCCAUGAUCGUUAAGGUUAGGAUUGGGGGUAGGGAAAUCUGAUCCUAGAUACUGUAUGUGGUUAUGGGCUGAGACCUCUGCCUUGGGGUCCACCGACUGACAUUUCACCUCAGAGAGCAAGGUCUGAAUAGUCCAACCCAAGCGAGAUUAUUCUUUUACUACAUUUUAGGAAGCCGGGUUCAUUUUCUAACCUGGCGUUGUGGAAUUUCUCUGCUUUUUAUUCAGGAAACUCAUUAAUGUGGUACAAAAGAACUGAUGUGUCAGUAGCACAGAAGGAAUGAAGGAACAUGGAAUAAGCACGUUAAUUGCUUUUGUAUUGAAGGGAGUAAUUUAUAGAGCUAUAAUGGAUUUUGAUUGGAAAGUUGUCUUCCUAGAGUAAGACAGUUAUUCACUUUGCAGCAUCGUCAAUUAUUUAUGAAUGUCUGAGAUUCCUCUUGCACCUGGUCUGUUGGCAGUAUGACCUUUAUAGCUAGACAGAGUGCACAAUAAUGGACAUACUUCACAUAGAUAAAAUGCAUGUUUACACACUGUUUUCUGUAUGGACGUGCUACAGACGAAUAGACUUUGUGAUAAAUAAAGACAUUUUAAAGUGACUCUUUUUCUAUUUGUUUACCAUUCACACAGAGAACAUUUGUUUGGAAGUUCAUCACAAUAUUGUUACAUCUGAUGAUUUCAAGCCAUUCUGUAGUAGAACUACUGCAUAUCAGUCAUUUGAGAAUGUUUCUGUUUUGUAAUACACUGUAAGAGAGAACAUCUCAGGGAGAAUUGCCUUUACAUACAGCGUUUUCACUUGAGGUCAGUACUCUCAUGUACAGUAAUAUGAAGGUGUAACAUGUUCAAAAU
ensembl:lncRNA